rnacentral:hammerhead_ribozyme from 1 species
AUCCAGCUGACGAAUUCUGGAUAGGACGAAACGCGCAUCCUGUAU